CCUACGGGAGGCAGCAGUAAGGAAUAUUGGUCAAUGGACGCAAGUCUGAACCAGCCAUGCCGCGUGAAGGAUGAAGGUCCUCUGGAUUGUAAACUUCUUUUAUAGGGGACGAAAAAAGGGAAUUCUUUCUCACUUGACGGUACCCUAGGAAUAAGCACCGGCUAACUCCGUGCCAGCAGCCGCGGUAAUACGGAGGGUGCAAGCGUUAUCCGGAUUCACUGGGUUUAAAGGGUGCGUAGGUGGGCAUUUAAGUCAGUGGUGAAAUCUCCGGGCUUAACCCGGAAACUGCCAUUGAUACUAUUUGUCUUGAAUAUUGUGGAGGUAAGCGGAAUAUGUCAUGUAGCGGUGAAAUGCUUAGAUAUGACAUAGAACACCCAUUGCGAAGGCAGCUUACUACGCAAAUAUUGACACUGAGGCACGAAAGCGUGGGGAUCAAACAGGAUUAGAUACCCUGGUAGUCCACGCCCUAAACGAUGGAUACUCGACAUCAGCGAUACACAGUUGGUGUCUGAGCGAAAGCAUUAAGUAUCCCACCUGGGAAGUACGACCGCAAGGUUGAAACUCAAAGGAAUUGACGG
rnacentral:rRNA from 1 species